rnacentral:rRNA from 1 species
CUCCUGGAAACGGGUGGUAAUGCCGGAUGUGCCGGGCUCCUGCAUGGGGGUCCGGGAAAGCUCUGGCGGCGUGGGAUGGGGUCGCGUCCUAUCAGCUUGUUGGCGGGGUGAGGGCCCACCAAGGCUUCGACGGGUAGCCGGCCUGAGAGGGCGACCGGCCACAUUGGGACUGAGAUACGGCCCAGACUCCUACGGGAGGCAGCAGUGGGGAAUAUUGCACAAUGGGCGCAAGCCUGAUGCAGCGACGCCGCGUGCGGGAUGGAGGCCUUCGGGUUGUAAACCGCUUUUGUUUGGGAGCAAGCCCUUCGGGGUGAGUGUACCUUUCGAAUAAGCACCGGCUAACUACGUGCCAGCAGCCGCGGUAAUACGUAGGGUGCGAGCGUUAUCCGGAAUUAUUGGGCGUAAAGGGCUCGUAGGCGGUUCGUCGCGUCCGGUGUGAAAGUCCAUCGCCUAACGGUGGAUCUGCGCCGGGUACGGGCGGGCUGGAGUGCGGUAGGGGAGACUGGAAUUCCCGGUGUAACGGUGGAAUGUGUAGAUAUCGGGAAGAACACC